rnacentral:rRNA from 1 species
UACAGUGGGCUCGAGCGUUAGUCGGAAUCACUGGGCUUAAAGGGUGCGUAGGUGGCUCGCCAAGUGCUUUGUGAAAUCCCACAGCUCAACUGUGGAACAGCAGGGCAAACUGGCGGGCUUGAGGCAGGUAGGGGCCGGAAGAACAGUUGGUGGAGCGGUGAAAUGCGUAGAUAUCAACUGGAAUGCCGAUGGGGAAGCCGUCCGGCUGGGCCUGUCCUGACACUGAGGCACGAAAGCGUGGGGAGCAAACAGG